AAACAAAAACUAAAAAUAAUCAAAAUCAAAAUCGAAAUAGAAAAUGUUCUUUACCUACCGAUCGAUUUCGGAUAUAUAAACAGUCCGUUUGAUGGAGUCCUCCCUCUGAGCUUUUUGAAUACUACUAACACUCGACCUCCUCCUCUCACUCCUCUCACUGUAAUUGCUUUUUCUCUGUAAAAAUUACGAGAAUAAAUGAACUAAUAUACUUUUCUUUCACAAAUU
rnacentral:lncRNA from 1 species